GCACGUAGUUAGCCGGAACUUAUUCCUGAGGUACCGUCAUUAUCGUCCCUCAGAAAAGGAUUUUACAACCCGAAGGCCUUCUUCAUCCACGCGGCGUUGCUGAGUCAGGCUUGCGCCCAUUGCUCAAUAUUCCUCACUGCUGCCUCCCGUAGGAGUAGGGACCGUUUCUCAGUUCCCUUGUGGGGGGUCACGCUCUCACGCCCCCUAGCCGUCUUCGCCUUGGUAGGCUCUUACCCCACCAACUAGCUGAUAGCCCGCAGGCCCCUCCCGAGACGCCGGAGCUUUAGGCUGGACCCUCUAACAGUCCAGUCAUCUGAGGUAUUAGCUCCUCUUUCAAGGAGUUAUCCCCCAUCUCGGGGCAGGUCACCAACGUGUUACUCACCCGUUCGCCACUUUCAGCCUGAUACAAGUACCAAGCUUCACGUUCGACUUGCAUGUGUUAGGCACGCCGCCAGCGUUCAUC
rnacentral:rRNA from 1 species